CGCGUAGGCGGGUAAGCAAGUCAGAUGUGAAAUACCGGGGCUCAACCCCGGGGCUGCAUUUGAAACUGUUUAUCUUGAGUGCAGGAGAGGGAAGCGGAAUUCCUAGUGUAGCGGUGAAAUGCGUAGAUAUUAGGAGGAACACCGGUGGCGAAGGCGGCUUCCUGGACUGUAACUGACGCUGAGGCGCGAAAGCGUGGGGAGCAAACAG
rnacentral:rRNA from 1 species